rnacentral:lncRNA from 10 species
AGAGAGACACCACUUUGGGAGGUGGCGUCAACAGCUCCCCCUCCCACCACCACCCCGCCUCCCAAUUCCCUGGGACAGCUGGACCAGGCCUGGGACUUUCGGGGGUGUCCAGGCACUGGCCACUGCAAUCUCUGGAAAGAGUAGAGAAACCCCAGCAUCUUUCCUCCAUCCUGAUUAGGCCUGCCCUUUGCGGAAAUCAUUCUUGUCCCAGUUAACGCUGUCCUUGUUUUGAGAAGAGGUGCCCUGGGUGCAGUGAUGCGUGGGUAGCAGGCUGUCCGGGAGCUCUCUGCCUGAGAGAGGGUCAGCCUGCGGCAAGAGGGUAGCUGCAGAGUGAUCAGGCCACGGCGGCUUCUGCUGGCCCUGAGAACGCCCUGCCUGGGGCUGGGUCGGGUCUGUUUGGCAGCAUUGCCCAGAUUGCAACUCAUGUGUCCUUGAACAAAGUCAAUGUGUUUUUCCUCUCCAGAGCCCAGCAACUAUUUGACAUUCGGAGCUGCUCCUCAGGGUUCUGGGCACGUCGCAUAUUGCGCCCCAGCCUUCUCAGCAGCCAGGAGCUGGGAGGUGGAGGGGCCUGUGGUCUGGCCGCCGCCUAGCAGGCCUGCAUGGCCACCUCCAGCCGGGUGCAGGCUGGCUGGGGUGGGGCUGCCCUUGACCUUGGGCUCUUCCUCCUCCGCCAGAUCCUCAGGCGCUGGCUCAGCCUCCCACGGCCCGGGGGAGCCUCUGUCUGCUCCUUCCAGCCGUUCAAGGACGAGGCUUCCGAAAGACUCACUGUUCCUGUGUGGGGAACUGAGGCCGUGUGAAGGCUGGAUGAACCGCUGCUGUGGCCUGGGGAAGGCAGAUGUUUUGGGGCCGUGAUGGGCUGGCCUGGCUGUGCCGAGGUGCCUGGAGGCAGAUCUGUUUCAGGACCCCGAUGGGGACGUAGAGGAUGCGGGAAGCCCAUGAGUGCCUCCUGUGCGCGAGCGCUUUGGUGAGCGCAGUGCAGCCGCCUUCUUGGUUGCUGGUGGACGUUCAGCCCUAAUACCCUGCUCUCUCGCCCGCAGCCCCGUCUGAAGCCCCUGAAAUUUGAACCUUGGUUUAGGGAUUUGGCCUGUUUGUCAGUGGGUUUUCCACAUGUGGUUUCCACAGGAACUUUUGCUGUUUAAGUGCUUUUUUAAACGAUGAAAUUAUCUUUUUCCUAUUGGGAUGAGCUCACUGGCUUUUGUGUGGGCUGCAGGCGCUGGGUGAUUGGAAGGGCCAUGGACUUCUGAACCCAGAGGAGAAGCCCUGUGUACAAAAGCCGCUGGGUCUCAGCAGUCCCCGAGGAGGUGGUUGUGAACGUAGCACCAACUUCUUUGAUCUUCUGAGAUCACUGCGUUUUUCUAGUAAGGCCCCCAUGGAAAGCUUAGCAUGCAGGCACGUGGGUCGUGGCCUCCCUCUUGAGUGAGCUGAAGGAUUUAAGAACUGUCAGCUUCCUAUAUUAUAGAUGGGAUGGGAUUUAACAUCUGCAGCAGCCAGACUUUGUAAGGGCCAAGAAACUUGUGUGACCUUGUGUGAUCUUGAGGGGCAGGGAGAAGACCUUUAGCUCAGAACGGUACAAAGAAUUAACGCUGAGGACGAAGCCAGGGAGGGGAACCAGAGCCGGAGCUGGGCUAAGCCAGUUUCCACCUCCCAUCUCGCAGCGCAGACCGGGGCUGGCUCCAGCCUCGCAGCGCGGACCAGGGCUGACCGUGGCACAGCCUGUGGAUCAUCCACCAGGGGUGCCUGAGGGGACCGGUUUGGACGCAGCCCGUGGGGAGCUGGGCGCGCUCUUCUGGAGCUGGACGGCCUCCAGGGUCCCCUCAGAGUGUCUCCGAUGGGGAGGCUGGACACAGCGUCCCUGAACCAAGGGGGCAGUGCUCUCGUCACAGAGCAGAGGGCCGCACCGCCCGUGUUUGUCUUUCCCAUUGCAGCUUCUCAGGCCCUAGGCCAGGCCUCGUUCCCAUCAGAUAAAGCCUGGGGCGGCCGGACGCAGUGCAAGCAAUCGUGCCUGACUCACAGGAAGGGAGGAAAACAGGAAUUCACGCAGAAGCUGUAAUGUUCCCCCUUGGCCCUGGGAAGGGUGUGAAGGGAUGUGCGGGGGGGCAGGCGGCCGAGCGGGGUGGGGGCGGCUCUGCCCUUCCUCGCCCCCUUCCAGGUGCCUAGACUUGGGAAGGAGAGGGAUGCCGCCAAGCUCGGGUCCUGCAGGGCCCCGGCCUUCUGGUGUGGGAUCUGGCUUGGGAAGGCCCGGCGCUGGGGCUGCUGCUGAAAUUCUUGAGACUGGUUGACAAGGGAUCCCGUGGUUUCAUUUCGCACCGGGCCUCUCCAGGGAUGGAGAGGGUCCUGACUGGCAGUGUCGAAGCCACGGGGUCUCUCCUUGGUCCCUGGCUCCCCUCACAGCCCUCCCUGCCCAUGGAGCUCCGGGCUUCCGCACACAUUUCUCUCCUUUUUAACGGCUCAUUUCUUUGGGUUCAGCAGUACCUGGGUCCCCAGUGCCCUCCUUCUGAGGCUCUCUCCUUUGAGUGGCCACCCUCCCCCAACACACCUGGAGCGCGGAACUGGGAGUGCCGUGGACACCAGCCCUCCCUGGCCCAGAGCCUCUGCCUCUCCUGGGCCUCCCAAGAGUAAAACCUCUCCACGCCAGACCAGGCUGCAAACCUGGAUUUGAAACCAGCGCUGUCGCACUCCUUGAACUGUAUCAGGGGUUUUCAGUAGCGGGACGGGAACCAGAACCCAAAAGAGGCUCCUUCCUUGUCUUGAAUUCCUCCCACCUGAGUUAGCAUCUUGGAGGUCAACGUUUCAAGGAAUUCAGUAUCUGAGAAGAGAAAGACACCAAACCGUGGUUCCCCAUGAGGACUUGUUGCUGAAAAAAACAUCUAACUCCAUACAAUAUUUGAAGAGAGUUAUUCUGAGCCAGAUGUGAGGAGCGUGACCCGUGACACAGCUCCAGGGGGUCCUGAGGACAUGUGCCGCAGGGGGUUGGGCCACAGUGUGAGCUCAUACACUAUGGGGACAGGAGGUUCAGGCAGAGUCAGUCAAUACUUGACAGAUGUGCGUUGGCUCUGCCCAGAAAGGCGGGAUGACUUCAAGUCAUCUGCUGAUGGACCUCCCCAAGACUGCAUUUCUCAAGGACAAGCGAACUUGGGUUCCCAGGCGAGCAGAGGGAGUAGAGCAUCUCCUUCAACCCCAUGGUCCCUGCAU